rnacentral:lncRNA from 1 species
GAGCUGCAGACAGGAGCUGUUCCUAUUUGGCCAUCUUGCCUGGGAAUCCUCAUGUUGUUUCUUAAAGGAGAAGACCUAGUAAUAAAAACAGAAAUGCCUUUUAAAUAUUUUAACAAUGAUGGUUGAUAGAAAAGGUGAGGCUACACGGAACGGGGAGCUGGCUACAAAUCAAGAAGCGGGCCCUCACCAGACACUGCAUCUGCUGCCACCUUGAUCUUCAACUUCCCAGCUUCUAGACUAGAUUGGCUACUAUCGACAAUGUUGCUGUCAUCAGAAACUCAUGGGUAUCACUCCAGACAUUACCUUCUUUCUUUUGUCCAGCACCAGCAGCUUACCAAGUCCUAAAAGAUUCACUUGUAGAAUAAUACUUCUUCAUUCAUCUCUUGACAUUAUCUCAGAUGUAGCUUGCCCUGAGGCAAUGCCAAACACUUGCUGUUCCUUGACUGUUUGCUGCUUUUCCAUGAGUGGGUUUCUGGUUCACAUAGAAGAGGAGACAUCUGAAUAUGUAUAAGAAAAAUGUCAACCCUCCCCUAGUGGAUGCUGAAAAACUUGAGGAGAUGGACACCACAAUGGUGUGAAUGGGCAGAUUUCCCUGAAACGAUAUUUACAGAUGAGAUGAUAUUUUAUCCAGAUCUUGAAGUUUAAGUAAAAGCUUGCUAAUAUGCCAUUGCUGCUACUGCUGUUGUUGCCAUUGAUGAUGAUGAUAUUGAUCAUGACAAUAAAUAAUGAAUUA